rnacentral:rRNA from 1 species
GUGAGGAAUAUUGCGCAAUGGAGGCAACUCUGACGCAGCCAUGCCGCGUGCAGGAAGAAGGCGCUACGCGUUGUAAACUGCUUUUAACCGGGAAGAAACCCCAGGACGUGUCCUGGGUUGACGGUACCGGAGGAAUAAGCACCGGCUAACUUCGUGCCAGCAGCCGCGGUAAUACGAAGGGUGCAAGCGUUAUCCGGAUUCAUUGGGUUUAAAGGGUGCGUAGGCGGAGCGUUAAGUCAGUGGUGAACUCCUGCAGCUUAACUGUAGACUUGCCAUUGAUACUGGCGCUCUUGAGUGCGCUUGAAGUGGGCGGAAUGUGCCGUGUAGCGGUGAAAUGCUUAGAUAUGGCACAGAACACCAAUUGCGAAGGCAGCUCACUAAGGCGAUACUGACGCUGAGGCACGAAAGCGUGGGGAUCGAACAGGAUUAGAUACCCCGGUAGUCC